rnacentral:rRNA from 1 species
GAUGAACGCUGGCGGCGUGCCUAAUACAUGCAAGUCGAGCGAACAGACGAGGAGCUUGCUCCUCUGACGUUAGCGGCGGACGGGUGAGUAACACGUGGAUAACCUACCUAUAAGACUGGGAUAACUUCGGGAAACCGGAGCUAAAACCGGAUAACAUGUUGAACCGCAUGGUUCAACAGUGAAAGACGGUCUUGCCGUCACUUAUAGAUGGAUCCGCGCCGCAUUAGCUAGUUGGUAAGGUAACGGCUUACCAAGGCAACGAUGCGUAGCCGACCUGAGAGGGUGAUCGGCCACACUGGAACUGAGACACGGUCCAGACUCCUACGGGAGGCAGCAGUAGGGAAUCUUCCGCAAUGGGCGAAAGCCUGACGGAGCAACGCCGCGUGAGUGAAGAAGGUCUUCGGAUCGUAAAACUCUGUUAUUAGGGAAGAACAAAUGUGUAAGUAACUGUGCGCGUCUUGACGGUACCUAAUCAGAAAGCCACGGCUAACUACGUG